GAAACAGCAGCAGCUGGAAGUCAAGAGGAGUGCUCUGUGGAGGAACACACCCACAGGCACCAGCAUGCCGGCAGGCCACUGACUGGCAAAACAACGCGGUGUUUGGCUGGGGCAGUCGGAGGAGCGCUCGGGCCGCCAAGCAGACCGACUCCAGGGAAAACCAUCUCCCUUCUGGCUCCCCCAUCUGCUAAGAGCCAUGUAAGAUAUGCCUGCUUCCCCUUUGCCUUCUGCCGUGAUUGAAAGCUUCCUGAGGCCUCCCCAGAAGGCAAGCAGAUGCCAACAUCAUGCUUCCUGUACAGCCUGUGGAACUGCCCUCCCCUCUGCUUCUCACUGGUCCUGAGUGUGUCCUGGAAUAACAUGUGGGCUGUGCUAUCCGGUGUUGUGUGUGUCACAGAUGCAAUUCAAAAUCCUAAGGCUGGAAAACCAUUACUUAAAAAAAAAAAAAAAAAAAGACUAGCCAGCCUGCUUUCUGAGCAUCUACUUGAUAGCAAGAGGGCCUCAUGCUCAACCCCUCCGUGCUGGGAAGGAAGCAUUCCCCUCAUCAAGGACUGCGGCUCUCUGGAAUAAGCAACGUGUGUUCCCUCUUGGGGGUCAGCCAAGGCCCUGAACAUCACAAACUCCUCCUCCACCUC
rnacentral:lncRNA from 10 species